CGUGGGAUUCUUCAGGCAAGAAUACUGGGGUGGGUUGCCAUUUCCUUCUUCAAGAAAAGAAACCACUCCUGCUGGCUGUUUACAAGGUGCCUACAAGUUGUGUCCCAGCAGGGUCCCGGCAGGCAGGAGGACACCUGAGUCCCAGUCCAGGGGCCGCCACUGACUGGACCGUCCGACCCACGCCUGCCCCUCUCCUGGGCAAGGAUCAGACAGUGCCCAGGCCACCAGCUUAGACGGUGCGACAGUCCAUGGGGUCACAAAGAGUUGGACACGACUGAGCGACUGAACUGAACUGAGGCCACCAGUGGCAACGUGGGAUGAGCUGGAAUGUGGGGUGGGUCUCUGUAGGCCAGCAGACAGGCUCUGAGCGACUUUGCAUUCCAAAGGUGGAAGAGGGCCUGGGGGAGGAGUGUCCACCCCCACCCUUGAUUCCCUGAGACUCUCUAGGUCCUGAGAGGAUUAUAGAUCUGUCUGCAGCUCUGAGGAAAGUAGAAGAUAAGGGGGAUCUACUGGCAUGGAGUGGGGGCUGGGCCUUCAGAAUGAGGGCGAAGGAAGCCAGGCUCCCUGUUCUCCACCCCCAGGCCCGAGGUGUUGGUGUCUGAGGCUGGCGGUCAGCACACCCACCCUUCCAGCCAGCCCUGCUCAGCAGCUGACAGGGCCAUUCUGAAAACUGGCUGCUGCUUCUGAAAACCAGCCACUGGACUUCCCCGAAGUGACACUUUCUGAAUGGCAAAGGGACAGAGUGUCUCGGGAGUGAGCGUGGGGACACAGCUCAGCCCCUGGGGGCCUUGGUCCUGAGUCAAGUACUGCUUUCUGGGACACCACACUGGGAUUAGCUGCCUGGGCCCUGCUUCCCCAGAGCAGAGAGCUGGGGGAGGGGUGCCCCCCCGUGCCCCCCCCACCCCCCGCAGGCUUCUGAGGCUAGAGGGUAUGAGGGACCCCGGGGACAGGCUGGUGAGGAAGACACAUGAGAGAACCCUUUGGGGAAACACAGC